rfam:Canis lupus familiaris chromosome 12, whole genome shotgun sequence.
AGCUUUUCACAGUGCCAGUAUUGUAGCAAAUGUGGUUUAUCCAAGGCAUGAUUAUUGCUAAUUGAAAACUUUUCCCGGGGCACCUGGCUGGCUCAGUCAGGGAAGUAUGUGACUCUAUCUCCAUCAUGGGUUUGAGCCCCAUAUUGGGUGUAGAUA